rnacentral:rRNA from 1 species
CCUACGGGUGGCAGCAGUGAGGAAUAUUGGUCAAUGGGCGCGAGCCUGAACCAGCCAAGUCGCGUGAAGGAUGAAGGCUCUAUGGGUUGUAAACUUCUUUUAUAUGGGAAUAAAGUGAGGAACGUGUUCCUUUUUGUAUGUACCAUAUGAAUAAGCAUCGGCUAACUCCGUGCCAGCAGCCGCGGUAAUACGGAGGAUGCGAGCGUUAUCCGGAUUUAUUGGGUUUAAAGGGUGCGUAGGUGGUUAAUUAAGUCAGCGGUGAAAGUUUGUGGCUCAACCAUAAAAGUGCCGUUGAAACUGGAUGACUGGAGUAUAGGUGAGGUAGGCGGAAUGCGUGGUGUAGCGGUGAAAUGCAGAGAUAGCACGCAGAACUCCGAUGGCGAAGGCAGCUUACUAAACUAUAACUGACGCUGAGGCACGAAAGCGUGGGGAUCAAACAGGAUUAGAUACCCCAGUAGUC